rnacentral:lncRNA from 9 species
GCUGUUGAAUGCGCCGGCGGCAGGACCGGGUCCCCGCCGGGUGAGCAGGGCCGGGGGCCGGGGCGUGCCCGGGGCUCAGCCGUCCGCGGGGCCGCGGCUGCAGCGGCGGAGCCAGGCGCGGCCCCCGCCCGGCGGGCGUGUGUCUGCGAGCGUGCGUGUGUCCGCGGCAGCAUCGAGCCGGGAGAGGGGGCGGGAGGGGUCUCGCUGCGGCGAGGCCUGCGGAGGGCGCGGGCGCGGGCGGCGAGGGCGGCGGACAGACCGCGGCCGCGGCCCCUGACGCACGCUGCGCUCCGGCCCCCUCCCGGGCGCGGGCCCCGGCGAGGCAGAGGCGCGGCGGCGGGCGGCGGGGUCUGCGCGCACCCGCCGGCUCACAGACACACACCGGCCACGCCACAGACACACGCCACGCACCGAGCCACGGCCGGCGCGCCAAGCCCGCCGGGCGCCGCGCGCAUCGCUCCGCGCUCACACUCGCACUCACCCUCGCGCGCAGGCCCCGCAGUCGCCGCGGCCGGAGGCGGCGCUCGGCCCGGAGCCCGGCUGGGGCUGGAGGAACCAGGUGACAGAUGGGUCUCUUCCUUCCUGCCCCCGUCUCUCGUGUGCUUCCCGCUCAGAGCUCCCGUCUCCAGCCUCCCGUGGGAAUCCUUUGAAGUUCUGAGCCCGGAAUCCCAGGAGGAAGAGGAGGAGGAGGAGGGAGAGGACGUCAAGCCCUGAGCGCCUGGGCACCUGCCCUCGAAGGAGAGGAGCACUUCCGGGAAGCAGGCUGUGGGGCCCCAGGCCCACCCCCCCGGCCCUGGCUGGGCCCCCGCACCAAGCGACUGCCCGUAGCGCCCCGGACGGCCCCCAGCGGUUGGCACUGGCCGUGCCUGCCUCACCUGGGGCCCCCGAGCCGGGGGUGGCCCCCAAGAUGGUGACGGCCCCAGGGAGGACUGUGCUGCUGGCCCCAGCCUCCGGCCGCUAGGCACCCCCCCACCCCCUGUGCCCCUCCACCCCGAGCCCGGCCUGCG